rnacentral:lncRNA from 1 species
CAUGGUUGGAACCCAUCUUAGACUAUGAGCCAGAUGUGUGUUUGUGUGUGUGUGGCUUCUAUCCCCCUUUAAAUAAAAAUGUUGGGGCUGGUGAGAUGGCUCACCAGUUAAGAGCACUGGUUGCUUUUCCUUAAGUCCUGAGUUCAAUUCCCAGCAACCAAAUGCUCGUGACCAUGUAUAAGGGAAUCUGAUGCCCUCUUCUGGCACGCAGGUGUACAUGCAGCAGAGCACUCAGUAAUCUUUUUUUUUUUUUUAAACGGAGAGCAGAAGCUGAGGUGCAAAUUCAGAUUUUUCUGCUAGGUGUAGGCAAUAUGAGUCCUCCUGAGUAGACUGGAUCCAAUCAUGAGUACAGAAUCCGCAAAGCCAUAAGCCUAAAGGAGACCAAAGACCUGACCUACCCUGUAGGAGCUCCAGGGUCUUUACCCAACCUUGGCCGACUAGGCUGCCUGUUUCUUUCUUUCUUCUUUUUUUUUUCUUUCCUUUGGAUUGGUAAUUUAUCAAAUUUUCGUCAUAUACAUGAUCCUCUACUUAGGACAGUAAGAAACAUGAUUCCUCUUUGUUCCCUUCGCAUUUGUCAGCGCGAUCAAGUCAGGCAUAUGAGAAGACGACUAUGUCCGUCAGGACCCCCGGGCCCGGCGUGGGUAUAAAUGGCCGAGGCGGGCGGCACACGGGUCUCUUUGUGCACCCGCCCACACGGUUUGCGGUCUUUUUACCCUUCGUUGCUCUCCACCGGUCUGGGCAGGGUCUGAGGACUCCGGAGAGCAAGGCAUGGUUCCGCCUCGUGCCGCUGGUUCCUGGCCCACGCCAGCCGUACCCAGUAGCACAAUGGGAUUUGAGGACACACGCCAGCUGCCUACACCUGAAGAAAGGGUGAGCUCUGAGGACUUCACAGGGGCCCCAUCCCCUCACCUAGAUGAGGGCUAACCUUGGAAUCCAGACAAAGGUGGAAGUGACCUAGAUGUGACCUGAAUGAGCUAAUCAUCUAAUGAGAGCCAUCCCUUUGUCCUGCCCGCAUGAAGGUGGGUGGUUAGCUCACUUUUCAGGGUAAUAAAGCAGUAAAGGCGGGGUGGGGGGGUUGUUGA